rnacentral:miRNA from 1 species
AGGCCAAUGGCAAUGCUUCCUCA